rnacentral:tRNA from 1 species
GCGGGUUUAGCUCAGUUGGGAGAGCGUCAGACUGAAGCCAAACUUCAAUUAUUACGAUAUCUGAAGGUCAUGUGUUCGAUCCACAUAAACCGCA